GGUCAAGCUAUUAAGGGUAUAUGGGGGAUGUCUUGGCAUUAGAAGGCUAUGAAGGGCGUGAAAGUCUGCGAAAAGCUUGGGGUAGUUGACAAACAAGCGUUGAUCCCAAGAUCCCUGAACCAGCGUGUACUGAAUACAUAGGUACAUUGCAGCGAACCGAGUGAACUGAAACAUCUAAGUAACUCGAGGAAGAGAAAGAAAAAUCGAUUCCGUUAGUAGCGGCGAGCGAAAGCGGAACAGCCCAAACCACUGGGGUUUCCCUGGUGGGGUUGUAGGACUUUGCACAUGAGAGUUAGAAAACUUUAGUUAGAAGAACGACUUGGAAUGGUCGACCACAGAGGGUGACAGU
rnacentral:rRNA from 1 species